AUAGCUAUCUUCAUGAUCCGACGGUUCAUCGCCUAUGUAACCUUCC
rnacentral:sRNA from 1 species